CCAACUGAGCCACCGAGGCACCCGGAAUAUGGAAUUUUGAGUAGAAGAAUAUCACUUCUCUUAAGUCUUUCUGACAUUAGGUGUGGCUUCCACAGACCAAGCUGUGAUGCUGUAUUGGUCUGACAGAACCUUCACUUCAAUGAUGUCUGUCUGAAAUGUCUCCAGAUGACUUCUGUACUGUGAAAUAGAGCCAAACUGUGGAAACAAGCAAACAAAAUGUCCUAGGAUUGCUUAUGGCUGUAGAGCCAUCAAGCAGGUCCUGAAGUGGGUUGUGGACUAAACCAGUUAUUUCAAUCUUCAAAGGACCAAGAGGCCUUUGCUAACAUCUGAAUUAUAGAUAUGAAAACAAAAAUAAAGAAGAUUCAAAACACGCAUAAUAGGUGUUCCUAGAAAAGAAAACAAAAUACAACAAAACAAAAACAAAAGGAAAAAAAAUUAUUUUGAGUUAAUACAAAGAACUUCUCCUCAAAGAAAAGAUCUGAAUAUUCAAUGUUAAACCGACAUACCCAGGAAAAAAGUAAUAAGAUCAUGACAAGAUCAAAAAGUGAUCAAGAUCCCAAAAGAAAAGACUUGCACCUUUAAAUAAAAAAUAAUACAUAUCAGGCAGGCCUUAGAUGUCUAUCCGCAGGGACACUAGAAACAAACAUUGUUGAAAAGAAAAGAUAUGCUACAGAAUUCUUAGUCUAGCCAGGAUAUCUUCCAAAUGUAAAGACGUGAGAAACACAAUCUUAUAUAUGUAAGAGCUUUGUAAUUUUAGUAGUAAUAAAAUCUCCCUAAAAAGUCUACUUUAAAAAAAUAACCCUGCUAUCUGAAAGAAUAAUCAAAUUUAGAAUUUACAAGUUGAGAAAUUGUGAUAGAGACAGAUUAGCAAUAAAUACUGACCACAAAGCUAGAAGUAUUCAUGAAGACAGUAGAAGAGUUUACAGGGACAAAAAUGGGAAGUGACACUACAACCCCAAAUAUCAGAAGUAAGAGAGAUUUUUCUCAGGGAAGCACCUAGAAGUCUCUGUGCUCAGAGUUAAGAAAUCCAGCAUACUGGAGAGGGAGUGACAUCAUGCUACUUCCAGACCAAGCCCUUGAAGGGACUGGCAGCUUCUACUUUCCUUCCUCUUGGAGCUCUCGGAACCCUUUCAGAACCCAGAAGGCACUCUGUGAAAAUCAUGGGCCACAUAGAAAGGCUAAGUGAAGGUGCUGCAGACAACAGGCCCAGCUGAGCUUCCAGCUUACAGGCAUGUACCAAAUGUGACCUCGAGAGUGAGCCAUCUGAAUAAUGCAGCCUAGGAGGCUCAGAAGAAUAGACCUCCACCCAUAUCUCAUGGAGCAGAAGAUGACCCACUGGAGCCAGUCAACCCACAGGAGCACUGGAAAUUACAGAAGAGUAUGUGCAUGUUGAAAAUACUGAUAACAAAAGACAAUACUAUAAUUAACAAAUACUGAGAGCUGAAGAGGGAAAGGGAUAUAAAAGAUAAAGUGUUUAAGUCUUCAUUCUUAAUGGAAGGAAUCAAGACAUAACAAUAUAAUUUAAAGUGUUCAUUAUAACCAGAAGGACAAACCCAGAAAAUCUUAAGUUGUUCUGGAAAGUGGGACUAAGGGUAGA